GGACUGACCCCCCUCCCGUGCCGCAGUCAACACAAUAAGUAAUCCACCUGGGGAGUACGGCCGCAAGGUUGAAACUCAAAGGAAUUGACGGGGGCCCGCACAAGCAGUGGAGUAUGUGGUUUAAUUCGAAGCAACGCGAAGAACCUUACCAGGUCUUGACAUCCGGUGCAUAGCUUAGAGAUAAGUGAAGUCCUUCGGGACACCGAGACAGGUGGUGCAUGGUUGUCGUCAGCUCGUGUCGUGAGAUGUUGGGUUAAGUCCCGCAACGAGCGCAACCCUUAUCCUUAGUAGCCAGCAUUACGGAUGGGCACUCUAGGGAGACUGCCAGGGACAACCUGGAGGAAGGUGGGGAUGACGUCAAAUCAUCAUGCCCCUUAUGACCAGGGCUACACACGUGCUACAAUGGCGUAAACAAAGGGAAGCGAAGGAGUGAUCCGGAGCAAAUCUCAAAAAUAACGUCUCAGUUCGGAUUGUAGUCUGCAACUCGACUACAUGAAGCUGGAAUCGCUAGUAAUCGCGAAUCAGCAUGUCGCGGUGAAUACGUUCCCGGGUCUUGUACACACCGCCCGUCACACCAUGGGAGUCAGUAACGCCCGAAGCCGGUGACCCAACCUACAAGGAGGGAGCCGUCGAAGGCGGGACCGAUAACUGGGGUGAA
rnacentral:rRNA from 1 species